UUGGAGGGAGUAAGAACAGGUUACAGCCCAACUCGGCGGCCCACUACCAAACCCAUGUUUGGUUGGUUGUAAUGGUUUAUUACGUUUUCUUUGAAAACAACCUUAUUCUGUGAAAAGCCAGGAUCUCUAAAUUCUUCCCUCACUACCAAAUAGCAAUUCAACGAAGGUGGAAACUCUCUCUUUUUCCCAUUUCCAAUUUUUACCCCUCACCUUUCUGAAACCAUCCUCCUUACUCCCUUGCUUGCUUGAUUUCUUCUUUUUCUUUUCCCUUUCAUUAGAAUCACGUCAUUUGGUGGGUUCCAAGUUUACUGCAACUGAAAACUAAACCAAGUGUUCUUGGCAAUUGAAGCCAUUGAUUUGGCAGUAGACUUGAAGAUUUGGUCUUUGCUGAGUCUUUUUCUGCGCAAUGAGUGGUUUAAAUUCAACUUGAUUGAUAUUUGGACUACUUGUAACAUAUUUCCUUCACUACAGUUUUUAAUAACUGAAUUAUUUUUUUCGAAA